CUCGGUUUCAUCGAUCCCGACGCACCUCGACCCCUUUCAACUCCACCAUCUGACGCCUUUCAACUCCUCCACCCCGACGUUCGUCGCUUCGUACGGACCCUCGACCCUCAUCAGACGCUCGGUCCGAUGAUCGCGCCGAAGCUGGCGCACCUCGCGGUGACGGACUGCCCGUCGUUCAAGGCGGUGGAUAUUCGCGCGAGCGACGCGCCGGGCGCGGACGCCGCGUCGCUGCCGGCGCUGCGCGCGGUGGUCUUCGGCGGGUUUAAGGCGCGUUCUCUCUUACACUGGUCCCCAUACGACCCCGUCCGCGUGGUGAACGCCGAUCCUUAAGGACUUUUGUCGGCGCAUCUCUCCGCCCAACCCUCGCUUUCAAUCCCCACCCUCGACGCCUUUCAACUCCGUUUCUGACGCCUUUCAACUCCACCCCG
rnacentral:lncRNA from 1 species